rnacentral:lncRNA from 1 species
UGGCAAGUUUGAAAAAUUUCGUUGACAACUCAGCAUGGAGGAAAGAAUGAGCUGGUGUUGAGGAGGAGUGUUGAAAAUUAACACCAGCCCAAUUGGUGUUUGUGUUGAAGUGUAAUCUUGCCUUGGCCCAAGAUGGAUCCAGCCCAUGGACAAAGAAAGAUCCAUACACAUGCUAGAGAAUUCUAGCAAAGUUCAAGUUGGUGGAAGAGUCUAGAAGAGUGGUGAGGUUUCUACCAACAUGCAAGAUUAGUAGUUAGUAGAAUUAUCUAGAUAUCUCUAGCAUGAUGAUUACAUGCUUCUCCAAGGUUCCAUCCAUGCCUAUAAAAGGAGAAGGCAUCCACACCAUUUGUAUCAAUCAAGCAACCAAACAACCAACCAAUCAAGAAGUAGUAGGCAACCCCUCUUUUUAUCAAUUGUAGUAAAGUAUGUAAGUAGGGAUCGUUCUAGGCCGGGGAUUAGGAGGGAUUGCUAAACACUUGAAAACUGACUUAAAAACAUAAAAACAAAAUUUAAAACACUAAACUAGACUCAAAGAAUGCAAAACUAUACUUUAAAAUACUUAAACAAACAUAAAACUCAAAACAGCAACCUAAUGACUCAAAACUGCCUAAAAACCACUUUCUGGGCAGGUUUGAGAACCUAACAAGAACUUGGACGAAGUUGGAUGAAAACUUGAAUCAAAACACUUAGAAACACAAAUCGAAACACAAAUCAAAACACUUUCUAACUAAUCUAAGACUUCAAAAUAAAGGGGGAUUUGUUUGGACGAAAAUUGAAAACAAAACAGAAACUUUAAAACAAAACAGAUUGUAAAACGUUUUUGGAUGAAAAGGAUGGAUAAAAGGCUAGUUAGGAGGUUCUUCUCCACACAUGAAACACUUGCAAACAAAAUGAUUUUCAGUUGUUCUUUCAAUAAAUUAUGAAACUCAACACCCCAAGUUAAUUAGAUACGCUUAAAUUAACCUUCAAGUUCUCCUUAAGUUAAUGAAUUGGAUGGAAAAGCGCAUACAACAAUUCAAAGCAUUCCUCAAAGGUUCCUUACGUGAUGAGCACAAUAAAGAUACAAUCAAGAAUCAUGAAGCACAAUGAGAACUAUAAGUGUUGACGAGGCAUUCGUUACUAUGAUGAGCAUGAAACUAGUGCCAAGAAUUCAUUCAACGCGAUCGUUUUCAAGCGACCUUCACUACUUGUGAUUAUAAGAUUGUAACUAUUAGGUGAAACUCCCUCAUAAUCUAGCAUUAUAUUCAUGCAUGAAAACUAAGCGUGCACUCUCAAUCAACAUACACAAAUAAGUUUAUCAAUCAAGUAGAUGAACGAAUUGAAUCCGCAACUUAUGAAAUAACAACUGAAUGUAAUCAAAUCAUAUUGCAAGCAUGUACAUGGUUUCGAAUCACCCCCCAACUAAGGGGGUUUAGUUCCUCAUUCUUGCAAUACAAAGAUACAUACAAUUAGACAUUAAAAUCAAAGGAAAGAAAACACCUAAAAUGCUCCAACUUGGAAAGCAAGUGCAUCAAUGGAUCUCCCUUCCUCCUUGUUGCGGCAUGAAGCUUGUGGACAGAUUUUUGGGUGGAUUUAUGGUGUAGAAUGGAUGGGGAAUGAUAUGGAGGGGUUUAGGGUGAGUGUGGAAGAGUGUUUGAUGGUUGGAAGGUGGUGGAGAACUAGGCAAAGAGGGUGGAAGAAGGUGGAGUGGCUGUUAUGUUUUCUAGGCACUAGAAUGGUGUUUUUGGGGUGUUUUGCUUCCUAGGGUGUGUAUGGACGAAUUUCUGUGAUAAAAUGAUGAAUAUGGGGGAUUGUUCUUUGGCCAAGGGUUGUAAACAUGUAUUUAUAGGCUCCCAAAAACCUUAGAAAAUCAGGUUAGGUUAAGGAUGAAAUGCAUGGCAAUUUGUGUGUGUGGUGUGCAAUGGUCCAAGGGUGAAAAGGAAGUAAUGAUGCAAAGUGUGAAGGGUAAAAUGGAGUGGUGUUGUAGCUAGGGAGCAUGAAUGAUUGUGUACAUUGCAUAGAGAUGGAAAGGGAGGUGAAAUGUGUCAACAAAUGGGUCAAAGGUGCAACAACAUGUGUUGCACAUGGCAUUGGAUUCCAAAUGUGAAUGAUGGAGCAUCAAUUGGUGCAUGUAAUGGAUGUAAAUGUUGUCUAAAAUCUAAUGAGUGAAGGGAACAAGAGGUAUCAAGCAAUUGAGUGUAAUAAUUAAAUGAAUUGAAGCAUGAAAUUAGAAAUUAUGUAGGGGACAAGAGUGAUCAAGCAUGGCAUGGAAUCCAAAGGGAAUUCUAUGUGGUUUGCAUGGCAAGGAAUGCAAGUUGGGGUGACAGAUUUUUGGGCUGUUUUUCUUCAUCUUUUGGACCAUAAUUCUUCACAUUCUUGGCCUCUUUAGUUCUCAAAUUCGUCCAUCCACUUGGCCCAUGCAUUUGCUAUCCAUUCCAAGCCCGAAACAUGCUCCAAAGGCCUCCAAAAUGCAUCUUCUUGCAUACUUUGUACUUAGAGUCUGAAAACACACGAAAAUGACUUUAAACAUUAAAAUAACUAAGGAAACACGACAUAAAUGCACAAGAACAAGCCAACUAAGUCGCAUAAAUAUGCUCCUGUCAAAUUCCCCCACACUUAGCUUUUGCUAGUCCUCGAGCAAAACAAAGAGAUAAAACGAAACAAAGUAAAUAAAACACAACCUAAACCUUCCAACAUUUGCCUCAGGGAUUUCCAAUGCACAUGACAUGUUAAAAAUCAUUAUCCCCACAGAUUUGAGUCAUCUUCACACUUAAGCACGUACUUAAUCAUAGUCACUACUUACUUGUUCACAAUUAAUCAAUUAAAACAAUGUUUUUGAUGUAGUAACAUGCCUUAGAGAAAUCACUCAAUUCCUUACAAGAUAUGCACUCAAUUUUCACUCAGAUUUUCUAACUACACACCCUAUACUAGUUAUAUGUGAGAAGAUUGAUGUAGAUAUGAAAACGAACACUCACAUAUAUGUAUCACAAAGAAAGCAAUUUCUGGAGUUAAUAAGCAUGUUUAGAUAUGAUCUCAUGAAUGGAAUGCUACUACUUAGAUGCGAGAACCAGUGACACCAUAUGCUCAUACCAAAUUCAAACUCCACAUAUUGAAACGCAUGACACUCAAGAUGAAGUUAAGGGUUGUAACGGGGCUUGGGGUGAUGGCUAACAAAUGAAGGAUAAGGAUAACAAUCGUUCUUAAAGCAAUAGCAAGUAAAGUAAUGAAAUUGAAACUUAGAAUUCACUUAGAUUGCAGAAAUCAGCUUUUAGACACGAAGGGAAAAUUCAAGCAAUAAUUAGGGCCGAAUUCUAAGUUUUGGACCCUUUCUUCAACAAGCAGCACUUUAAAACUCUUUUUUUUUUUUUUCUCAACUCUUCUUUUCUUUUCAACAAGCAUAAUAACUCACACUUCCCCCACACUUGUUUUUCUGCCAUACAUUAAUCAAAAGAAAUUCAAUUUGAAUCAUGUUUUACUAUGCUUCAAGAACUAAGGUAUGGAUGGUCCUAAACUAGGCUAGGUAAGGAUAAUGUGGUUUAACAAAGAAUGUAGGCAAGGCUCAAUGGGGUUAACUUAAACAUAUAACGAUAUGGGAUACAUGGCAGUUUUGGCUUUGGUGGUGGUAACUACACACAACUUCAUCUUGAAUAUGUGUUAUGCAAAUCAAUAGCAUGCUUUGAAUGAAAUAGGCAUGAGUUCUAGCAUUUGGAACUAAAUGAUGAAACGCCUUCUAAGUAAUAACCAAGCAAAGAAUAAUGAGAUCAUGCAACGACUUUAGAAAACAAUAAUGCAUAGAUUUUAACUCUCCAAAUAAACAUUUAGGCUCAAGUCUCACAAGGUUGUAGCGUUAGUUUGAGUUCUUUCCUUCAAGCAUGUUACAAAAAAACUAAUUUUUUUUCUUUUAUGAUUACAUGUGAUUUCAUAAGUUAUAACCACAAUCACGCAUAAAUAAAGAGUAAAUCAAACUUUCAUCCAUGUUUAUAAAUCUCUUUAACAGUCAUGCAAUUACAAACUGAAUCCUCAUCAUUGUAUUGGAAGGUACCCUAAGACACAAAUAAGCACACAAAAACAACUCUUUUUGGGAUUUUCAAAAACAAUUUUUCAAAUUUUUAUGAAUUUUCGGAUUUUUAUGUCAAAACACACUGAAACACCCCAAAACAGCUUAAAAAAUACUUAAAACAACAAAGAACAAUACUAGAAGUAAUGGGUGAUAAAUUUCUAUGAAUUUCAUGCAAAACAAUGGUUACCCCCCACACUUAAAUCAAACAUUGUCCUCAAUGUUUCAAGCAUAAACUCACACAAAAAACAAGCAAAUAAUAAACGACAAAUAAACAUGACAAAUAUGGCAAAGUAAAAACCAGACAGAGUAGAGUUUAAGAACGCAAAUCUGGUUUUGGAGAUAGUUGAUCUUGUUGACUUUCCACAGCUUUGAUCUUGAACUAGAUUGGAAUUGUACGACGAAGCUUUUCUCUUUGGUGAUGUUGCAGUUCCUUAUUUGUUCUCCAAGCAGAUGUGGCAGCUUCUCUAGUUCUUCAGCUCGGACUCCUUGUGCUGGGUUGAUUGUACGAGCUGCAUUCUUCUCUGCUUGUUUCUUCUGUACGUUGUCUCCACAUGCUGCUGGUAUCAUUUUUCGCAUUGCCUUUCGCUUGCCUUUAUCUGUUCUUCAGGUAGAUGUGGCAGCUUCUUUGGAAGUACAUCAGCAGUGGAAGACGAGUACUCGAGAGCAAUUUCUCCAUGUCCUGCAGGUUAGAACAAAGACAAGGAAAAGGACAUGGAGAAUGCAUGAUAUGAGAUACUCUUGCUUUCAACCUUUAUGAUAUGAAAUACUUUUGCUCUGGAUGGGUUGUUUGCAGGGGUAUCCCAGGGAAUGAGGAAUACAGUGUGACUCGAGAAGGUUUGUUGGAAAGCCAUUUUAGAGAGGAUGAAGGGUUAAGUGAGGCUGAAAGUUGGGUGAGACUGCUUCACUUUGAAGUUUAACAUUUAUAGAAUUUUCUUAAUGGCUGGGAAUGCAUUGUUCCAUUACUCGUGUCGGCAAGCCUGGGAUAAUUUAACAGUAGUUUCCACGUGCAUUCCGCUUCUCCAAAAAAUUUCGACAGAUUGCGCGUGAUUUACGCAACGCAGAUGUGCAAAUUGACAGAUGCUGACACGUCUCGAUAAAGCAGAGGUCUCUUUAAUAUCCGGAAUUUACGCUUCGAGUUCUGAGCUUCGUUGAGGGCAGAGAUUGCAUGUGACAAAUGCUGACGAGGCUGAGAUUGCAUGUGACAAGUGCUGACGAGGCUGAGAGAGACAGAUGGUUGGAAUCGGUGCUUCGACAGACUGCCCGUGAUUUUCGCAAAGCUGAGUUGCGUGUGAUGGAUGCUGACGAGGCUGAGACAGUUGACACUCUUCGGUAUCUGGAAUUGGUGGUUUGUGAGCAAGCCCAACUUUUGAGAAAGCUGGCGCCUCUUCGAUCUCCGAAUGGCUUCUUCGAUUUCUGAGCUCACCUCCUCGAUCUCUGAAAUCCCAUCGCAUGCUGAUUUUUAUAGAGGUAUGCAGGACGUUCAAAGCACUCUUGAAUUUCUGCCUGUAAAAACUCCCGUUUUGCACUUCUACGAUCUUGACUUGUCCGAUCUCCUCUUUCUUUAACACCUCUGAAAAAUGUCUGGCCCUUCCGACCGUCGUUUUGACUUGAACCUUAGUGAAGAAGCAGCCCCUCAUUCUCCAGACAACAUAUGGCGCCCAUCCCUCAUAUCCCCUACUGGUCCUCUCACCAUUGGGGAUUCGGUGAUGAAAAAUGACAUGACUGCUGCGGUGGUGGCCCGAAACCUUGUCACCCCCAGAGAUAAUAGACUACUCGCUAGACGGUCUGAUGAAUUGGCGGUUAAGGAGUCUCUGGCUCUUAGCGUGCAGUGUGCGGGUUCUGUGUCCAACAUGGCCCAACGCCUAUUUGCUCGAACCCGUCACGUUGAAUCGUUGGUGGCUGAAAUACAGAGUCUCAAAGAGGAGAUUAGAGGACUCAUGCAUGAAAAUAAACAAUUGCACAAGCUUGCACACAAUUAUGCCACAAACAUGAAGAGGAAAAUUGACCAGCUGCAGGAAAAUAAUGGUCAGAUUUUACUUGAUCACCGGAGGUUUGUGGGUUUGUUCCAACAGCAUCUGCCUUCGUCUUCUGGGGCGGCACCGCGUAGUGAAGCUCCAACUGAUCAACCUCCGAUACCUCCUCCUUCCGUGGCCCCACCGACUGCUGAGACUCCGCCGACUACUGCAACUCCGCCGACUACUGCAACUCCUCCAAUCAGCCUUUGUGAAGGCUCCCUCUUGUAAUUUCUUGCUUAAUGUUCCCUUUUUUUUUUUCAUGAAAAAGAAUGUAAGAAUAUCUUGCAUAUCUAUCAAUGUUUCAAAAAUAAACCCACACCCAAAAAUAAUUAAAUAAACAAAAAUAAAAAAAUGACAAUCAUGGCAAAAUAAAAAUGCAGAAAAGUGAAGGUUUUUAGAAACGCAAAACUGAUUGUAGAGCGAUUCAUAGAUCUUCCUUUUUUUGAAUACAUGGGUUGCCUCCCAAGAAGCGCUUUCUUUAACGUCUUGCAGCCGGACGAUACUUCCUUCUAAACUUGGAUAGGGCCCAUAGCAUGGAAUUGAUCCUUGAAUGGACGGUGAUACUUGACGUGAUCCGGCAAUGGUUUAAAUUCUAGUGUAGGUGCCUGAAUCAUCAAAAUCAACAAGUUAGUAUAUACUAAAAUCGAAAUUGGAGAAGAUGGCUUACUUGCUUUGUCCGACAAGAACUCAAUGACAAACACCACAUUUUUGAAAGUUUCAGGGAUAUUGGACUUGGCCAGAUUGAAUGUGAUGGUUGGGACUUGUCCCAUGUCAUAAAAUUCAACUUCUUUAGGAAUGGUUGUCUCAAGCACAUCCUCUUUGAUGCAUUCUAGACAUUCCCCAUCCACUUCUUCCUCUUGAUUCUUUGGAAAGGUUUCAAAGAUGCCUUUCUCACCCUCUUCUUCCUUGGAUUGCAUGAUCCUGCAAGGAAUAAAGACAUUUAGUGGAACGGGGUCAGGACGAAUUGAAUUUGGGCUUACCUUGGUUGUAGUGGACUGCAUAGAGGGCAUAUGGGGCUGCGGUAAGGGUGUUGGGGCUAGGGUAGGCUGCAGCAAUGGUGGUUCUUCCUUUACCGUGGCCUUGUUAUCUUCCUCUUCUUCGAGCAGUAACUGUUCAUCCAUGUUUUGGCUUGGUUUGGACAUCUUGGGUUCAUCUCCAACCUCUAUGCCACUUUCCAAGUUGAUAGCUUCAAUAAUUUCAACAGUUGAGUCAGUUACUUCACUUUGUUCUUGCAUUUGCCCCAUGAAUUCCGCGAUCUCUCCCAUUUGAUUCUUCAAUUCGCUCAUCACUUGGGCUUGAUUUUGUGAUUCCUGCGUCAAAGAAGUUAGUACAUCAAGAAUUUGAGCACAAUCUAUUGACGAACCUGAAUUUGAUUGGAAUUGUUGCGGGGCAGGUUGUGGUGGCUGCAUAGGCGUUGUAUAGAACUCCUCAUAUGGCUGCCAAUAUUCUCCUUGUUGAGUCUCCUUGGCUUGAUUUUGUGAGCCCUGCGCCAAAGAAUUUAAUUCAUUAAGAAUUUGUUCAUAAUUUAUUGACGAACCUGAGUUUGGUUGGGUAUAUUGUGUAUGAGGUUGUGGUGGCUGAGCAGGGGCUUGAAUAGAACUCAUUAUAUGGCUGCCAAUAUCCUUCGUGUUGAACUGGUUGAGGUUCCCACCACAUAGUGUUUGAAUGAUCCCUCCAAUCUGAAUUAUACGUGUUGGAAAACAAGUUGUUCAUUGAUUGAUUAUGAUCAUGAUAACUCUCCCAACUCCUUUGUGGAUGUUGAUCUGCUUGAUAUCCUUGCGUAUAGGACACAUCGAAUGUAGGGGUGCUUUGUAUUGUGGUCCUUUCGAUGUACUGUGACAAUUGAGAAGUAAGAAUUGCCAUUUGAGCUUGAAGAUUAGCAAUUGCCAUGUCUUACUUCUUUUAGUACCUGAUAUCAAAGAAAUAAAACUAAAUCAAAUAUCAUAAGUAAACAAAACAGGGUAAUUAUAAAAAAUAAAAUAAAUAAAAUAAAAAAUAAAAUAAAAUAAAAUAAAUAAAUAAAAUAAAAUAAAAUAAAAAAUAAAAAUAAAAAUAAAAAUAAAAAUAAAACUAAACAAUUUAAACAAGACUCAAGACAAGGGAUUAGCAAGAAGCAAGAAUAGUCUUGUAGGAGUGUGAGCGAUCUAGAGUGUGUCUCUAUAAAGUGAGUGAGUGUCAUUACUUCUAAAGUUGUGUCUUUGUGAGUGUUGUAAUAUUUUGUGUGUGUAAUACAAGUAAUUUGUUUACUUGUGUUGUCUCUCCAACACUUGUGUUAAAGUUGUGUACUCUAAGUUUUUCCCCCAACAUCUGCAACCCAACAAACCAGACGAGCAACUUCUUCUCUAACAUGGCCAUACUUCUCUGCCAAUCCACGAAGAGAUAGGUGAGGGGUUAUUUCCGAGCUGGUGAAGGUUACCAACGACAGGUAGCUUCAGAGGGCUUGGUGGAAGUUUGAGUUUUCUUUUCCAUGACUUAUCCUCAAAGAUAAACUUAAGCAACAAUAUGAGGAAACUGAAUGCAAGAAGCAAAGAUGGUUCCUUUAGCAAUUGAAGAAAAGCCAUUGGAAACCAAAAUUCAGUGCAUCAGAGUUUCUGGUACGGCGCCCCCAGUUGUCGUUAUCAAUUUCAAUAGACUGAGACUUGCUUUCGGUGGUAUCUAAUGAAGAAAGUUGGGAUUCCACCAUAAAAUCAAUUAGCAAUAUGAGAAGUAGCCCAACCUCUUAUAAGCCCAUGCAAGUCCCUCAUUCCAUCAAUAUGGGACUCAUUCCCAACACGAUGACAAAUUUUCAAGCCUAACACGUGGACAACACAAAGGGGUGACGUGGAAAGAGUGUGGCCGUUUGUCUUCACACAUCAGUGGGGGAAGUCAACAAGGGUGGCUUUAAAUAUGGUUACCUUACUUUAACUAAUACAUAGGCCUUUUGUGGUAAAACAACAAACUUGACGGAUUUGGCAAGUGGUAAAGUUUGGGACAAUAUUGAUGUCGUUAGAGUGGGCCCCCUGGGCUCGUUGAUCUAAAAAAAAAAUUCAAUAUGGUAUCAAAGUCCACGGUUACAGGCCCAUGCAAGCUAAAGGAUUGUCACCAGAAAGUGUGGGUUUGGAAACAAGCUUGGACUCUUAACAUAGAUUCGGCCUUUGAGUUCUUAAGAGUCACUUCUUGAAAAGAUUGAAAACAAGUCUGGACUUUAUUGGAGCCGACUUCUGAGUUUCAAUUGUUGAUGUGUGAAUCUCCACUUGUGAACCACUAAAUGGGGUUACACGUGAGGGGGUGUGUUAGCAGUCCCACUUCAAUGGGGGAAGUCAACAAAGGUGGCUUUAAAAAUGAUUACCUGCUCUAACUAAUACCGAGGCCUUUUGUGGUAAAACUCCAUACCUAACGAAUUGGGCAGGUGGUAAAGUUAGGAACAUUAUCGGUGUCUUUAAAGUGGGGUCCAACGGACCCACCGAUCCAAAAAUCCAACAUCUAAUAAUCGUCAAUCAGCAAGGAAGCCACCUCAAUUUCUUUGUACCAUUUUCCACCUUGUCUUACUAACAGAAAUAUGCCAGACAAAUCCUCAUCUUCUUUUCUGGUUGGUAGUGUAGUAACGGAUGAUGAUACAUGCUGUGCUCCUGAAAAUAAGUGACAGAUAGAGAAACAUGCAGAACUAUUAUUGAGCUCCACAAAAAGAAACUCGAGGAUCAUUAUCCUUAUGGAAUAGUAAUACGAAAACAAAGUAUUCAACAUUCAUCGAUACUGCGAGAUUUGAACGAUUCAACGUUCAUCGAUAUAUAGCCACAUCAGAAUAAAUACAUUUGGUUUUGUCUGUAAAAUUCAACAUCAUGACAAAUUAAUAAAGCAAUAUGACAAUGCUCUUAUAGUCCAUUAUUUGUCCUUUCUGGUUUUCUACUUUUGACAAUGGGUGCACCAGAAACGACGAUUAGGGUUCGGAAUAAUGGAUUUUCGUCCCACCCUACGUGCAGUCAAUUUGUAUCAACAAGGGAGCUUUCCCUCUCCAACAUUAACUGUAAGUGGUUUCUUAAAUUCUUUCAUUUACACGCCACUUAAUACUACGGUCUGGUGGUAUUCCUCUUCACUUGUAAGUGAAAAGUCUUAGGUUCGAUUCUCGCCACAGGCGAAUUUGAACCAUAUUAUUAUGGCUCGUCCAAUGUGAGGCUUGGUCUACUCCCCUAUUCCUUUAGUGUAGAUAAUAUCAAUUGUUAAAAAAAAUAAAAAAAUAAAAACAUAUAUUCACACACAUAAUACCUUUUUUUUUUUUUUGGGUGAAAGCCUAUCUUUUUUUUUGGGUGAAAGCACACACAAGACUUUGGCACUGCAUGUGCUACGUUAUUUUGGCAAUAGCGACAGACAAAGCGAACAUAAUAGGUGACGGUAGAAGUCUUAGAGCCUUAGGUUAGACAUAAAAUACAAAGGCCUAUACGCGUACAUAGACAAUGUAGCCUCUAUC